rnacentral:rRNA from 1 species
GACGAACGCUGGCGGCGUGCUUAACACAUGCAAGUCGAACGGAAAGGCCCUGCUUUUGUGGGGUGCUCGAGUGGCGAACGGGUGAGUAACACGUGAGUAACCUGCCCUUGACUUUGGGAUAACUUCAGGAAACUGGGGCUAAUACCGGAUAGGAGCUCCUGCUGCAUGGUGGGGGUUGGAAAGUUUCGGCGGUUGGGGAUGGACUCGCGGCUUAUCAGCUUGUUGGUGGGGUAGUGGCUUACCAAGGCUUUGACGGGUAGCCGGCCUGAGAGGGUGACCGGCAACAGUGGGACUGAGAUACGGCCCAGACUCCUACGGGAGGCAACAGUGGGGAAUAUUGCACAAUGGGCGGAAGCCUGAUGCAGCAACGCCGCGUGCGGGAUGACGGCCUUCGGGUUGUAAACCGCUUUCGCCUGUGACGAAGCGUGAGUGACGGUAAUGGGUAAAGAAGCACCGGCUAACUACGU